rnacentral:rRNA from 1 species
GUGCAGACGGGGGCAUUUGUAUGGAGGGCAAGUCUGGUGCCAGCAGCCGCGGUAACUCCAGCUCCAAUAGCGUAUAUUAAAGUUGCUGCAGUUAAAAAGCUCGUAGUUGGAUCUCGGUAUCAUUGUUGCCUGCUGGCCUUAAAAGUGCUGGCCUGUCGGUGCAUGGGUGAGCCUGUGUGCCACAGUGUCGGUUUCUUCGGGUUGGUUUGGCGGCGGUGUCACCUUUCAGCCAUGUCUGUGGUGAAAUACCCACAGGUGUAGGCGAGUGCCAGGCGGUGCCUUGCAACUGUAGGGUUCGUCGGCUUGUCUGCAUGCCUAUGGAUGCCCUUUAAAAGGUGUCUGUGGGCGGAUGGCACGUUUACUUUGAACAAAUUUGAGUGCUCAAACCAGGCCGAUGUUGCCUGAAAAGUUUUGCAUGGAAUAAUGGAAUAGGACUUCGGUUCUAUUUCGUUGGUUUUCGGAUCCGAAGUAAUGAUCAAAAGAGACAGACGGGGGCAUUUGUAUGGA